rnacentral:rRNA from 1 species
GCCCAGACUCCUACGGGAGGCAGCAGUGGGGGAUAUUGCACAAUGGGGGAAACCCUGAUGCAGCGACACCGCGUGGGUGAGGAAGCGCUUCGGCGUGUAAAGCCCUAUCAGUGGGGAAGAAAAAGGACGGUACCCAAAGAGGAAGCUCCGGCUAACUACGUGCCAGCAGCCGCGGUAAUACGUAGGGAGCGAGCGUUGUCCGGAAUUACUGGGUGUAAAGGGAGCGUAGGCGGGCUUGUAAGUUGAAUGUCUAAUCCACCGGCUCAACCGGUGAUCGCGUUCAAAACUGCAGGUCUUGAGUGAAGUAGAGGCAGGCGGAAUUCCUAGUGUAGCGGUGAAAUGCGUAGAUAUUAGGAGGAACACCAGUGGCGAAGGCGGCCUGCUGGGCUUUAACUGACGCUGAGGCUCGAAAGCGUGGGGAGCAAACAGGAUUAGAUACCCUUGUACU